rnacentral:rRNA from 1 species
AUUGAACGCUGGCGGCAUGCCUUACACAUGCAAGUCGAACGGCAGCACGGGAGCAAUCCUGGUGGCGAGUGGCGAACGGGUGAGUAAUAUAUCGGAACGUGCCCGGUCGUGGGGAUAACGUAGCGAAAGCUACGCUAAUACCGCAUACGAUCUACGGAUGAAAGCGGGGGAUCGCAAGACCUCGCGCGAUUGGAGCGGCCGAUAUCAGAUUAGGUAGUUGGUGAGGUAAAGGCUCACCAAGCCGACGAUCUGUAGCUGGUCUGAGAGGACGACCAGCCACACUGGGACUGAGACACGGCCCAGACUCCUACGGGAGGCAGCAGUGGGGAAUUUUGGACAAUGGGGGCAACCCUGAUCCAGCAAUGCCGCGUGAGUGAAGAAGGCCU